rnacentral:snRNA from 1 species
GGAUGUGAGGGCAGUCCGGCUGCGGCAUCUGUCACCCCAUUGAUUGCCAGAGUUGAUUCGGCUAAUCUGGCUGCCUAAACAGGUGUCCCCUUUCUCCCUCACCAGUCCAUGUACUGCCUCCUGAAGCUGCACAUUGGUGGAAGAGGACAACCUUCCCCCCAGAGGAGAGGACUGUCUUUGGUCAAGGGUGUCCGAGUAGCUGCACUCCCCUGCUAGAACCUCCAAACAAGCUCUCAAGGUCCAUUUGACGGAGAACAUAGUGUAAUCAAGUUUCUAAGACUCUACCA